UACGGAGGGUGCAAGCGUUGUCCGGAAUCACUGGGCGUAAAGGGCGCGUAGGCGGCUCGGUAAGUAGGGGGUGAAAUCCUGCGGCUUAACCGCAGGGCUGCCUUCUAAACUGUCGAGCUUGAGCACGGUAGAGGCAGAUGGAAUUCCCGGUGUAGCGGUGGAAUGCGUAGAGAUCGGGAAGAACAUCAGUGGCGAAGGCGGUCUGCUGGGCCGUUGCUGACGCUGAGGCGCGAAAGCGUGGGGAGCAAACAGG
rnacentral:rRNA from 1 species